UGUGUGUGUGAGUGUGUGUGCCCCUGAUUGUGCGUGUGUGUGUGUAUGUAUGCCCCCUGUGUGUGCGUGCGUGCGUGUGUGUGUCCCUGUGUUGUGUGUGUGUGUGUGUGUGUGUGUGUGUGUGCGUGUUCCCUGUGUGUGUGUAAGUGUCUGUGCGUGUGUGUGUGUGUAAGUGUGUGUGUGUGUGUGUGUGUGUGCGUGUGCCCUGUGUGUGUGUGUAAGUGUCUGUGCGUAAAAGAUGCCAUUAUUGACCAUUGAUCUAUUAUUAUAGGUGUGGCCAUCAUUAUAGAUGAAUAGCCAAUAUUAAAGUAGCAAGCACACAAGCAAAGCGCAUGGUCCGAUUAUUACAGCAAGAGACUCGAUCCAACCUCCUCCAACAACUCUCUCACCAACUGCAACAAGAACUAAGCUGAAAUGGAUCCUCUAGAAGCUGAAGUGUCCAAGUUGAGGCAGCAAAGAAAAAAGCACAGGCAAAAGCAGGACAGUGUAGCCCUUGAAAAUGACCUAGAUUCUGAACUGCUGCUACUGAGACCCAACAAAAGAGGAAAUCAAGCUCAGAGAGUAUAUACCCACGACACAAAUGUGAGAACAACAAGCAAAAUGGCUAAGUUUAACACAACUGUGUCUAAAACUAAAAGAAAGCAGCGGGGUAGAGUACCACCGCCUCCCGCCUCGUGACACAGCACACGUCGUGACACAGCACACGUCGGCCACUGGUAUGAGCACUGAGCUGGCACAAUAAAUAAUUUUGAUAUCUGUUUUUAGAAGACCAAUGUGUUGACCCUGGCUUUGAGUUUGGUGAUGUUCAGCUGUCAGAGACAGAGGAUUCAGUAUCAGAUAAUCAGAUGAGGCCCUGCUCCAGAGCAUUGAUGUGUCCAUAGCAGAUAACCAGAGCCAAAUCAGAUUGGCGAAAACGUAUGGAUACCCGCGAGGAGAACUGGGAAGCAUUCCGCAGCAAAUUGUUUGAAGAAGUAGUCAUGUACUCUUCAAUGCCUGCUGAUUCUGAUUCUGCUUGUUUUAUGUGUGGUGACGACGAAAGUCCUCAAAUUCGAUGUCAUCUGUGCGGCGCUUCACAGUACAUGUGCAAUAUCUGUGAUGUCGUAGCUCAUAAGCACCAGCCUUUGCAUGAUCGUGAAGUGUGGUAUGAUGGUAUAUUUAGGGCAAUACCACCAACAACUAUUGGCUGUGAAGCUGACUCAACUCUACUUUCUACUCAAAGGGUAUGCAUUCCGUUCAGCAUUCCAUGGAGAUGUCCUCUUUGUAGUAUCAGAACAGUGACGGUUUGUCCCAGAGAGUCAAAAAGGAUUGUAGUGAAUUUAAGAGGACGCUAUGACUUGAAUGAUGUUCUUCCGAUUUGCGACAACUGUGGACAAGAAAUCCACUUAGAAACGCCCCAUGAUGUAAUAAGAGGGCCUGGUAAUCCUGCACGAAAAUUACGAUCUGUUGAAGGUCGGUUUUCUGAGAACACUAGAGCAAUUUUCUUUGUCGAAAGGACGAGUCGGAUCACCAACAUUUGGAAAGGCUUUCCGCUACAGCAAGUUCUCUAUUGGUGAACUAAAGCAUUCUCCAGCAUUCUCCACUAUUUGAAUGUCCGUGCUGCACACCAGAACAGCAUUCUGUUCAUUUUGAUGGUAACAAAAAACUCUACAGAUAUAGCAAAGUCCCCAGAGGCUCGAACACUCAGUGUGCUGGGAUACUUUGGUGAGGUAAGUUUUCAAUCUAUUCACUUUGCAUUUUCCACUAUAAUUUAUCUUGAAUUAAGAAGACGUUCUGGAUUGUGUGGAACUACUCGCUGGAAAGCUGCCAAAGCUACAAUGGCCAAUCUUGAUGAGACUGGCUUGGAGGUGGCAGGAUGCAGGCAUGCCUUAGCUUUGAAAGCUUUAAACAUGUUCCGAGGAGAGAUUAUCUCCACACAAAGUACUUUUCUAAACUCCGAGUCAUUAUCUUCCACUAUCAUGAGAUAUGCAAGCUGGUCAUUUUUGCUGAACGUAGGUUCAUUCUUAAACUCUUGAACAGCACA